GUGGGCAGGCAUCCCCUCUCGCCUGAUAGGAGGGCCGUGCACCCUUGGACGACUGACCCUGUUUUCGCCUAACUGUACCCAAAUUUUGAAUUGGAAAUCUAAAAACACAAAAUCGCCACAUAAAAUGUUAAG